rnacentral:tRNA from 1 species
UCUCGCGUAGCUCAGUGGCAGAGCACCGUCUUGAUAAGGCGGGGGUCGGUGGAUCGUUCCCACCCGCGAGGACCA